UACGUAGGGGGCAAGCGUUGUCCGGAAUCAUUGGGCGUAAAGAGCGUGUAGGCGGCUCGGUAAGUCCGCUGUGAAAGUCCAGGGCUCAACCCUGGGAUGCCGGUCGAUACUGCCGGACUAGAGUUCGGAAGAGGCGAGUGGAAUUCCCCGGUGUAGCGGUGAAAAUGCGCAGAUAUCGGGAGGAACACCUAUGGCGAAGGCAGCUCGCUGGGACGUUACUGACGCUGAGACGCGAAAGCGUGGGGAGCAAACAGG
rnacentral:rRNA from 1 species